CAGCAGCCGCGGGAAUACCGAGGAUGCAAGCGUUGUCCGGAAUUAUUGGGCGUAAAGGGCUCGCAGGCGGUUUCUUAAGUCUGAUGUGAAAGCCCCCGGCUCAACCGGGGAGGGUCAUUGGAAACUGUUAAACUUGAGUGCAGGAGAGAAAAGUGGAAUUCCUAGUGUAGCGGUGAAAUGCGUAGAGAUUAGGAGGAACGCCAGUGGCGAAGGCGGCUUUUUGGCCUGUAACUGACACUGAGGCGCGAAAGCGUGGGGAGCAAACAGGAUUAGAUACCCCUGUAGUCCCUGUCUCUUAUAC
rnacentral:rRNA from 1 species